AUUGAACGCUGGCGGCAGGCCUAACACAUGCAAGUCGAACGAGUGGCGGACGGGUGAGUAAUGUCUGGGAAACUGCCCGAUGGAGGGGGAUAACUAAUGGAAACGGUAGCUAAUACCGCAUACCAUCGGAUGUGCCCAGAGGGGCUUAGCUAGUAGGUGGGGUAAAGGCUCACCUAGGCGACGAUCCCUAGCUGGUCUGAGAGGAUGACCAGCCACACUGGAACGGAGACUCGUUCCAGACUCCGACGGGAGGCAGCAGUGGGGAAUAGUGCACAAGGGGUGCAAGCCUGAUGCAGCCAUGCCGCGUGUAUGAAGAAGGCCUUCGGGUUGUAAAGUACUUUCAGCGAGGAGGCGUUACUCGCAGAAGAAGCACCGGCUAACUCCGUGCCAGCAGCCGCGGUAAUAC
rnacentral:rRNA from 1 species